CCUACGGGAGGCAGCAGUGAGGAAUAUUGGUCAAUGGGCGAGAGCCUGAACCAGCCAAGUCGCGUGAGGGAGUACUGCCCUAUGGAUUGUAAACCUCUUUUGUCGGGGAGCAAAAGCCGGACGUGUCCGGCUGUGAGAGUACCCGAGGAAAAAGCAUCGGCUAACUCCGUGCCAGCAGCCGCGGUAAUACGGAGGAUGCGAGCGUUAUCCGGAUUUAUUUGGUUUAAAGGGUGCGUAGGCGGAUCGUUAAGUCAGCGGUCAAAUUGAGGUGCUCAACCCCUUCCCGCCAUUGAAACUGGGGCUCUUGAGUGGGAGAGAAGUAUGCGGAAUGCGUGGUGGAGCGGUGAAAUGCAUAGAUAUCACGCAGAACCCCGAUUGCGAAGGCAGCAUGCCGG
rnacentral:rRNA from 1 species